rnacentral:rRNA from 1 species
CUGCGGAAGGAUCAUUGUUGAUUUAAUUAUUGAAUACUUGAAUUGUUAAUUAUUAGUAGGAGACCUGUAUUAGAAGGGUAGACACGGAAGGGUAAUUAUUGCGACCUUGUCUUUACUUUUAUUUACCCACUCGUAUCGCAUGUUCUUGCCUCUCAGGCCUCCUUUUAAGAAGUUGCUUGAUUGUAUAAGAUUGUGUGAAAUGAGUGUUGUCUAGCACAAAAUGUGCUAAGGAAUCUUAAAGUAUGCAUGCGAAGCUUUCGCUUAUCAUCAACACAUCAUAGGUGUGUAUGAUUUUGCAAAUUUAACGACUCUUGGCAAAGGAUAUCUUGGUUCCCUCUUCGAUGAAGAACGUAGCAAAAUGCGAUACUUGGUGUGAAUUGCAGAAUCCCGUGAAUCAUCGAGUGUUUGAACGCAAGUUGCACCCUAAGCUUUUUAGUUCGGGGUAUGCUUUCUUGGGUGUCAUGUUUGUGCGAAGUUAAAGGUUGACCAUGCAUCAUUGGGCAUGUGUUCGUCUUUUGAAGUGAUAAUUGGCUUUCCAUGUUAUAAAUGGUGGGCUUUUGUUUUAUUGUCCCUUGAUAUAUGUAUGAUGGUGACAGAGAUGAUGGUGGAUGUUUGUUCACGACUCUUCGUUGAACUGAGUGCGCUUUUUAUAUGUUCUAUUGUAAUGAUUCUGAAGAGAUUCAAUUGGAUGCAAUGUGACUCCAGGUAAGGCUUGGACACCCGCUGAGCUUAAGCAUAUCA